rnacentral:sRNA from 1 species
ACUGAAAGCUUCUUAAGAUUAGUCAGAGGAAGACAAGUGGGAAGGUGUAGACUUCUCACUUCAAUAGUCUGCUAAAGAUGGAGGAAAAAUAUGGUGCUAUUCAAAGACAGUCUAUACUUAAAGAUUUAGAAUUUUGGAUGGAAAUAAUCCGGUGAAAUAGCAAGAACAUUUGAAAGAGAACUUGACAAACCACUGCUGCAGAAAGCUGAAUUCCAAGGAAAUAUGCCCAAUAUCCAUGAAGCUGAGAAAGUUGUUUGCAAAAAGUUUAUGUAAUAUGACUGAAGGUUAUACUAAGAAGGAAGCAUUUCAGAAAUGAUUGAAGCUGGUUAUCUGUGUGCAAAAGCCUGUGAGUGUGUUUGUGUGGGCCUGGGCAAGUGUAUAUGCCUGUGAUUCACACAUCUCUUUUCACAAAGGAUUUGAGGUCACUCAGGAUGUCAUUCAUCCUGGGUAAAAGCCACCUCAGAUUACAAACAGUUAAUAGGUCAGAUGCUACAUAAUGCUCUCUUCAACUUAGAUUUCUUAAAAUCUUACAAGUUGAAGGAGGUGAGAGCCUGGGACUUUUAAUUUGCACUGGGGCAAAAUCAUUCCUUUGUGCUGAAAACAUGUGGCUGACAAGAUGCCACUGGGAAAGCCAAGCUUUUUUAGAAGAAUUUGCUGUAUAAUUCAUAAAG